CUGGGCGACAAGAACCAGACUCCAUCUCAAAAAAAAAAAAAAAAAAAGUAGCAAAAAAUUCAAACAUAGAAGCAUAUAGACUAAAAACAUACCUCAGGUCACAUACCUCUUUUCAGAGGUAACCCUUUCAAACACUCUGGAUUAUAUACCUUCAGAUCUGUUGAGAUGCACAUGUACAUAGUUAGCAUAUACAGUACCUAUGAGAUGCCAGGCAAAUAGUUUUGCUUUUGUUGUAUUUUUUAACCUAAAUGUUAUCAUACUAUAUAUACCUCUCUGCAACUAGUUUUCUUCACUUAACAUUAGACUUAAUAUGAGUGGGCAUUUAAGUAUUUUUAGUGUAGGGAGCUUUGGAUAAGGAAGAAAGGAGAGGAAAUAUUAAAAGCACUCGAAAUCCUAUCAAACUACAAAGUUAAAAUAAGAUCAAAUUUUAGCCUCAAUUUUUAAUCCAUAUACAUAAAGCUUCAGAAUCUAUCUUCUACUUAAAAAUAAGUUCCUAUGCAAUUUGACUGAACUUAAAAAGAGCACGUAACAAGCUGUUCAGAGAAAUGUUCACUCUUCAAGCUCUGUAGUAGUAAUUUAAGGGUAUCUAAGUUUACGUACUUCUACUUGCUUUUUAUCCAUUCCUCACAGAUCAUAUAUAGGUCACACACCCCUUUUACUACCUAUAUGCCCAUCCUGCCACCUCUAAGACAUAAAGUUCCAUAGCCAGAGAUAUGGGACUGGUGAAAUGAAGAUGGCUUAUGAUGAGACCUGCUACCUUCUUAAAAUUGCAACCACUGCACCUUUUCUGGAAGCCAGAUCAAGUUUCAAACUUGCAGCACCAAUGAGGCAUUUGAAGAAGAUUUGCUUAGUCUCAGUGAAAGUCUAGAGAGCCUAGCAUCACAGUCCCAAUUCAGCACCCCAAUCUCUGACUGACUUACAAUUACCUCUGGAUCUCAAGGAGAUUUACAUAUGUAUGUUUCCUUUUACCUAUUUCUAUGUCUUAUAGGUCGAAUGUAUGUACGCAUAUGGAUUUGAGGAUUACAGAGUAUUUUAAAAGUCUAAAAUGUAAUGAAAGGAUUCUUACAUUUUAACAUCAGAAUAUCAGAAUGUAUUGAAUACUCAUAAUGUUCCUAACACUGGAUAAAACAUUGAAAUGGAGGGUGGAGAAGGAUGGUGUACAAUAGAGAUAACUGUAUAUGAGGAAUUAAAUUUGAAACCAAGAAACAA